rnacentral:rRNA from 1 species
UACGUAGGGGGCAAGCGUUGUCCGGAUUAUUGGGCGUAAAGAGCUCGUAGGCGGUUUGGUAAGUCUUGGUGUGAAAUCUCCAACGCUCAACGUGGAGGGCCACCCGAUAGCUGCCAUGACUGGAGUCCGGUAGAGGAGUGUGGAAUUCCCGGUGGUAAGCGGUGAAAUGCGCAGAUAAUCGGGAGGAACACCAACAGCGGAAGGCAGCACUCUGGGC